GUAGGUGAACCUGCGGAGGGAUCAUUACUGAG
rnacentral:rRNA from 1 species